rnacentral:rRNA from 1 species
UAAGAACCAGGAUUAGAUACCCUGUUACUAAAUAUAUUAUCUAUCUUGAAGUAGUAGUUAUUAUAAAAUUUAAUGGAUUUGGCGGCCAGACAGCUUAUUAGAGGAACCUGCCCUGUAAUUGACAUACCACAAGUUCCUUGCUUUUUUUAGAAAAUACAGUUUGUAUAUCAUUGUUGUCAGUUUAAUUUAAUAAAAUAUUUUCUUAAAUUAUAAAGUUACCGACUUCAAAUAAUGUAGCAGCUAAUAAAAAAGAUAGAGGUGGGUUACAAUUUUAAAAGUAAAAACGAAUUAGUAAAUUAAAAUAGCUUUGAAGGAGGAUUUAAUAGUAAAUUAAAAAUAAAUUGAUUAUUAGCUCUGUCUUGUGUACAUACCGCCCGUCGCUCUCUUUUU